rnacentral:rRNA from 1 species
CAAGACUAGGAUUAGAGACCCUACUAUGUUGAGCCUAAACUUUUUCCAACUAAAGCACUAAAAUCUAAUACUGAUUAAAACUUAAAAAGUAUGGCGGUAGGUUUAACUUUCAGGGGAACUUGCCAAAUAAUAGACAACCCUCAAGCCAAGCCAACGACUUUUUUCCUGUUGAACAACCAAUAGUUUGUAUACCGCCGUCUGCAGGCCCCCCAUAAAGAGGGAGCCCCCUCGAAGAUGACCUUCAAUAAGACAGGCCAUGGUGCAGCUUAUAAAGUCGUCUUUAUCAAGGUGAGUUACAAUUAAAAAUUAACUUUACUAAUCGGACUUUUCAGAUGACCCAUGACUAUUAAUCAAACCAUUGAUAAAUAUGUCCCGCUUUGCUGAAAAAUUAAGAUGGACUUGAAAGUAAUUAAGCAUAUU